rnacentral:rRNA from 1 species
UACAGAGGUCCCAAGCGUUGUUCGGAUUCAUUGGGCGUAAAGGGUGCGUAGGCGGCGCGGUAAGUCGGGUGUGAAAUCUCGGAGCUUAACUCCGAAACUGCAUUCGAUACUGCCGUGCUUGAGGACUGGAGAGGAGACUGGAAUUUACGGUGUAGCGGUGAAAUGCGUAGAUAUCGGAAGGAAGACCAGUGGCGAAGGCGGGUCCCUGGACAGUCCCUGACGCUGAGGCACGAAGGCCAGGGGAGCAAACGGG